rnacentral:rRNA from 2 species
UGAUGUUUAGCGGGGCCAAGAGGUUGUACCGCCACACUGGGAUUGAGAUACGGCCCAGACUCCUACGGGAGGCAGCAGUAAGGAAUAUUCCACAAUAAGCGAAAGCUUGAUGGAGCGACACAGCGUGCAGGAUGAAGUCUUUCGGGAUGUAAACUGCUGUUGUAAGGGAAGAAAAAACUAGAUAGGAAAUGCUCUAGUCUUGACGGUACCUUAUUAGAAAGCGACGGCAAACUAUGUGCCAGCAGCCGCGGUAAUACAUAGGUCGCAAGCGUUAUCCGGAAUUAUUGGGCGUAAAGCGUCCGUAGGUUUUUUGUUAAGUUUAAAGUUAAAUGCUAAAGCUCAACUUUAGUCCGCUUUAGAUACUGGCAAAAUAGAAUUAUGAAGAGGUUAGCGGAAUUCCUAGUGGAGUGGUGGAAUACGUAGAUAUUAGGAAGAACACCAAUAGGCGAAGGCAGCUAACUGGUCAUAUAUUGACACUAAGGGACGAAAGCGUGGGGAGCAAACAGGAUUAGAUACCCUGGUAGUCCACGCCGUAAACGAUGAUCAUUAGUUGGUGGCAAAAGUCACUAACACAGCUAACGCGUUAAA